UUUCUCUGAAAUGCCUGCUAUUUGCUUGAGAGGCUCAGAGCAUCUUUUCAAGAGCUGAUUAUUACAUCUCAAAUUAGAGAGGUUUUCUAGAUGCUCGUCUGUGAGUUUUCCUGCGCUUCCUGGUGCGCAGCAUGAACCGUGCUGGCCAAGGCGUCCGUCUCAGAAGCUCGGGCUGAGCGGAGAUUGGGGUUAGGCCGUCAGGGUGCCCAGAUGUCUUAGGGAUUACUGUUUUGUACGGGAGGCUGGGACUUGAAAACGUUUGCACGUCUGGCACAUUGGGGCGGGGAGGAGAUGGCGCAGGCGGUUCUUGUUGAACAUGCCUCCUGCUAUCUUGACACAGUGCGUGAUACUGCUGCUCUCUUACUUUGUAUUUUUAUUUUAAAUUAAUAUUUAUUAUUUUAUUGUUUUUAGGCAAGAAAUAGAUUUAUUGCUUGUGAGAGAUGCAAGCAGGCAGGCCAACAAAAUUUAAAAAAACAUUUUAUUUUCUUUUUUGGCUGUGCUCACAGCAUGCAGACGUUCCCGGGCCAGGGAUUGAACCUGCAUCAUAGCAAUGACCCAAGCCAGUCAGUGACAACCUUUAACCUGCUGAGCUUCCAGGGAACUCCUGUUAUUAUUUAAUGGUAAAAUUCACAUAAAACUCAGAGUUUAACCUUUUUAGAGUGUACGAUCCCUUGGUUUUGGGUCUAUUCAGUGUUGGGCAGCCAACACCACAGCCUCAUUCCAGGACUCUUCCAGCCCCCCAACAAGAACCCCAUACCUGUUAGCAGUCGCCACCCCCCCAUCGUCCCCAUGGCCCCCAAGCUCUAUGUAACCCUCAGUCCACUUCCUGUGUGAGCUUGGAUAUUCCUGCCUCCAUGCUGCGUAGUUCACCUGGGAACAGGUUCCUGCAGUAGGUGCGUGGCUUCCGUGGUGGGUGGCCUGCCCUCCCUGUGGCGGUUUACUAGAGGUCCAUCCGUGUCGUAGCACGUAUAUCACUUCUUCACUCCUUUCCGGGGCGAGACGGUGACAUCUCAUGGUGCGGACACACACACCACGUGUCGUUUAGCCUUUUGUGGACUGGUGGGGCCUGUGGGUUGGUUCUGCUUUGGGGCUAGUAUGAAUAACACAGCUACGAACAUCUGUGUGCACAUCUGGGUACAAGUUUCUUAUGACCAUAGGCUUUCUCUUUUCUUCAGCAUAUACUUAGGAGUGGAAUUGCUGGGUCGCAUAUAGGAACUCUGUGUUUAACUUUCUGAGUCUGUUACUUUUUAGCCUCUUCCGUGUACCUCCUGUUUUCUCCAGGGUACUCAUUUGAAGGCCCCGGCUACUGUUGCAUUUUAUUCUGGUCUUCCUCCUGCCUCCUCCUCAGGUUCCUCACUGCUGGGGUUCCUCCCCCCUUGGGAACCGCUGUUUGGCACAGAUGGAUUUGUGGAGAGACCGUGGAGCCGUUUAACUGUGAGCAGAGGCUGGUGGCCGCCACCCCGCCUUCUCUCCUUGCUUGCAGCCAGGGGCCUCUUCCCUGGCCGGGUGCGAUGGGCGGUUCACGUCGCUUGGGAUGGAGAGAUAGAGACUCUCAGGCAGUCCCUGUUUGCUUAUGGUCCUGCUUCUCUGAAAAAAGGCGAUGAACUUGGCCAAACUGCGGUUUUCUGCCUGUGAACACGCCCCCGGGAGAAGAGGCUGCCCAGGCCGGGCCGUAUUCCCUCCUUGAGCUUCAUGGGGGCGGGGGGAGCCCAGGACAACCAGCAGCCGCUUGGAGGAGCAGGAAGGUGGAAGGAACCUGGGCCCCCGCUCCUGCAGCCGCCCUGCCCCAGCUGUCUGUGAUGUGUAACGUGGGGUACAGUUGCCCGGCUCCCAGGGAGUUUGUCCUGACUGCUUUGGCCAGGUCCGCGCUCAUAAAGCCCCGUUUCUGAGAUGUGUGGAUCCUCGGUGAAGGUGCCUACGAGGGCACGAGGAGAAAGUGAGUGCCUGAAGCUCCCUUUUCUAACAGGGAGCAGAGUCCCAUUUGCCAAGCCAGAUGUCCCUCAGUACUUUAGAUCCAGCCAGUAGAGCAGCGAGCAAUUAGAAUGGUUAAUACUCAGUUAAGUAUAAUUGGAAGCUGGUGUAAAUUUUGAGUGAAAUUGACAAGUUCCAUAAGUUAAACAGCAAAAUGCCAGAUCUUCUUCAGUUGUGUGAUUUCUGUGGGUCUCCGUUCAGGUCUGUACAUCACCUUCUUAGUGGACGAGAGAUGAGGGGCCGUUACCAGCUCGGUUCACCAUAAUCCUGAAGUUUACAAACACCUUACCGAUUGUUUUAUGUUAAAAGCUGACGUCUUUAAGUCAAAUCGUGGGAGCUUUAACACUCUCCUCUUUACCCUUUGAGCAGGAAAAACCAAAUCCCGACUUUCUGCCUGCCUUCGGGGCGUGUGCGUGCUGUGUGUGUGUGUGUGCGCCUGUGUGCACACACGUGUCUCCCCCCCCCGCCACGAGUUGCAUUAAUCACUUCUCAGUUCACAGCACAUCAUGAUGCAUUGUAUUAAAUGUUUUCGCCUUUCUGUUGCAUCCCAUCUCCAGUCUCCUCCUCUCCUCAUUCUGGUGUAUUUAAUAUGCCUUUACAUGGAUGUGUUCUUGUAAAGCAGUUGUAUGUAUGAGCAGCUCCAGCUCAUGAGUGUGGCAUCGUGCUGUAAAUCUUUCUCCCCUUCCCUUUCCCUCCUCACUGUUUUUGAGGUCUGCCCAUGUUACCCCAUGUAAAUUUCAUCCUUCACGAGCGCUGCAUCAGAUUCCAUCUUAAGAAUCCACUUGUCUUACUUAGCUCAGGCUCCUGUAACAAAAUACCAUACACGGGCUGGGGAGAAGUAGGGGGGUGUGUUUAACAGUAGACGUUGGCUGCUCACAGCUACUGAGGCCGGAAAGGCCAAGAUCGAGGUGCCUGCAGAGUCCGCUUCCUGGGGAGAGCCCUAUCCCUGGCGUGCUGUGUCUUCAGCACGACGGAGGGGCUUGGGGGGGCGGGGAGCUCUCUUCUCAGAAGGUCAUCCGUCCCGUUACGGGGACCCCACCCUCAUAACCUCAUCUAAACCCAGGUACCUCCCAAAGGCCUCACCUCCAAACACUGUCACAUUGAGGGCUGGGGCACACGAGUUUAGAGGAGACACCUUCAGUCCCCAGCACCACCUGAGCUCACAUGUCCACUUUCCUGGGGACAGGGCCUGAGCAUCCUAAGCUACAUCUCCUGACAGGUGUCCAGGAGUAGGAUUGCUGCGCCCCGGGGUGAAAAGCGUCCUUCAUCUCACUGAGCGCUGCCAGACGGCUCCCCAGAACGGCUGUUCCCCAGAACAGCUGUGCUGCUCGGCUCCCCCACAGUCUCAUCCGCGCUUCCUGGAGACGUUUUGCUGUCCCGAUGGUUCUCAAGUGGCACGU
rnacentral:lncRNA from 1 species